rfam:Felis catus isolate Cinnamon breed Abyssinian chromosome B4, whole genome shotgun sequence.
GCCUGGGUGGCUCAGUCGGUUGAGCAUCUGACUUCGGCUCAGGUCAUGAUCUCGCGGUCCGUGAGUUCAAGCCCCGCGUCGGGCU